rnacentral:lncRNA from 1 species
CUGGGAGGAAAAUAUGAAAUUUAUCUGUCUGUAGGAGACAAGAACCAUCAAAUUAUCAGGCUCACUGCCAAAGAUCAAUUCAGAACUCUGAGAAGUGUGAUGAGGGUAGUCUACGGAAAUCCUCAACCACAUCCAAUUAUAGAAGGAUCAUAUGAAGAAAAUAUUUAUUUUAAUAUAGCUGACAGGUUCACAGAUAACAAGAAGCUGGUAGGUCAUCUAAUCUGACUGCUGCGAUAGCACAGACUACAAGAUUUCAUCACUGAACACAGCAAUCUGAAGAAAAAUGCCUUCCAGAAUGCAAUCCAGCCUUGAUUUAUAGGAAUCAAAAAAUCUGCUGCUCUCUGGAGGCAUUUUGGAAAAGAGUUUCAUUUUCUCUGUAAUUUGCCUGCAUGAUAUUUUAAUUUGGACACAUUUAUCAACUUUAUAUGUAACAUAUACCUUCUGGGAUAAUGUUUCUGUAUUUUUUUCCUAUAAAUAAGACAUUACAAUUGGAACAAAAUACUUCUAUAGCUUAUUAAUACUGAGUGGGAUAUGCUCUGCGUGGUAAACAGCAGAACUCUUUCUUUGCAUUCUAGUUUUCCAGGUAUACAACGCAUGCAAAAUGUAACAGUUUUCUUGUAAGGUACAACCAUAUGUCCACUGUUUGAGAUAUUUGAGUAGGCAUCUUUUCUGAUUUGUCUGUUUUUUGGAUUACAGCACACUAAUGACAUUAUUUUGCAAGCUGUCUAAUUUAUUUAUUUCUCUGGUAAAAAAUUACUGAUUCUUUGCAUAGGCUUGUGAAAAAUAAAUUUUCAUUGUUUACUGGAAGUUCA